UAGAUUAUCCUGCACAAAGUGUGUGCUUCGAUUUUUGAUCCGUCAAAAAACAUGGCCGCCGUUACUUAAAAUAGAACAUAGGGGUCAAAUGCAGUUUUUGGUUUAUAUCUCAAAAACGGAAGCAUUUAGAGCAAAUCUGACAUGGGGUAAAAAUGUUCAUUAGGUCAAGAUCUAUCAGUCCAGAAAUUUUCAGAUGAAUCAAACAAACCAUUGUUGGGUUGCUGCCACUUAAUUGGUAAUUUUAAGGAAAUUU
rnacentral:lncRNA from 1 species